GUCAGGAUAUGAGGUGUGGUGUGUUCUCUCUCUAUGAGAUCUCUUGUCAGGAUAUGAGAGGUGGUGUGUUCUCUCUCUAUGAGAUCUAUGGUCAGGAUAUGAGAGGUGGUGUGUUCUCUCUCUAUGAGAUCUAUUGUCAGGAUAUGAGAGGUGGUGUGUUCUCUCUCUAUGAGAUCUAUGGUCAGGAUAUGAGAGGUGGUGUGUUCUCUCUCUAUGAGAUCUAUUGUCAGGAUAUGAGAGGUGGUGUGUUCUCUCUCUAUGAGAUCUAUUGUCAGGAUAUGAGAGGUGGUGUGUUCUCUCUCUAUGAGAUCUAUGGUCAGGAUAUGAGAGGUGGUGUGUUCUCUAUGAGAUCUAUGGUCAGGAUAUGAGAGGUGGUGUGUUCUCUAUGAGAUCUCUUGUCAGGAUAUGAGAGGUGGUGUGUUCUCUAUGAGAUCUAUGGUCAGGAUAUGAGAGGUGGUGUGUUCUCUAUGAGAUCUAUGGUCAGGAUAUGAGAGGUGGUGUGUUCUCUAUGAGAUCUAUGGUCAGGAUAUGAGAGGUGGUGUGUUCUCUCUAUGAGAUCUAUGGUCAGGAUAUGAGAGGUGGUGUGUUCUCUCUAUGAGAUCUAUGGUCAGGAUAUGAGAGGUGGUGUGUUCUCUCUCUAUGAGAUCUAUGGUCAGGAUAUGAGAGGUGGUGUGUUCUCUCUCUAUGAGAUCUAUGGUCAGGAUGUGAGAGGUGGUGUGUUCUCUAUGAGAUCUAUGGUCAGGAUAUGAGAGGUGGUGUGUUCUCUAUGAGAUCUAUGGUCAGGAUAUGAGAGGUGGUGUGUUCUCUCUCUAUGAGAUCUAUGGUCAGGAUAUGAGAGGUGGUGUGUUCUCUAUGAGAUCUCUUGUCAGGAUAUGAGAGGUGGUGUGUUCUCUAUGAGAUCUAUGGUCAGGAUAUGAGAGGUGGUGUGUUCUCUAUGAGAUCUAUGGUCAGGAUAUGAGAGGUGGUGUGUUCUCUAUGAGAUCUAUGGUCAGGAUAUGAGAGGUGGUGUGUUCUCUCUAUGAGAUCUAUGGUCAGGAUAUGAGAGGUGGUGUGUUCUCUCUAUGAGAUCUAUGGUCAGGAUAUGAGAGGUGGUGUGUUCUCUCUCUAUGAGAUCUAUGGUCAGGAUAUGAGAGGUGGUGUGUUCUCUCUCUAUGAGAUCUAUGGUCAGGAUAUGAGAGGUGGUGUGUUCUCUCUCUAUGAGAUCUAUGGUCAGGAUAUGAGAGGUGGUGUGUUCUCUAUGAGAUCUCUUGUCAGGAUAUGAGAGGUGGUGUGUUCUCUAUGAGAUCUAUGGUCAGGAUAUGAGAGGUGGUGUGUUCUCUAUGAGAUCUAUGGUCAGGAUAUGAGAGGUGGUGUGUUCUCUCUCUAUGAGAUCUAUGGUCAGGAUAUGAGAGGUGGUGUGUUCUCUCUCUAUGAGAUCUAUGGUCAGGAUAUGAGAGGUGGUGUGUUCUCUCUCUAUGAGAUCUAUGGUCAGGAUAUGAGAGGUGGUGUGUUCUCUCUCUAUGAGAUCUAUGGUCAGGAUAUGAGAGGUGGUGUGUUCUCUAUGAGAUCUCGUCAGGAUAUGACUUGGUGGAUUGUCUCUCUUCAGGUGUCUGGGGGUUUAAAAGGGGAGUCAUAAGGUUCCCAUGACAAGAAUAUCCAUUGUUACCUAGUAAGGGGCAUUCACAUGCUCCCCUUUCCAGCAUUGCACACAGACGGAUCCUGGGUGGAUCCUGGCCGUCUAGCUAGGAUGUUGGUGAGCUGACCUUUGACCACACAGACAGCCUGCACAUUGACGGAGGAGUA